AGGAUGAACGCUGGCGGCGUGCCUAACACAUGCAAGUCGAACGUCCUUCUUCUUCGGAAGAAGGGAGUGGCGGACGGGUGAGUACCACGUGGGUUAUCUACCGUGAGGUGAGGAAUACCGGCGAGAAAUCGCCGACAAGACCGCAUAGGCUCGAUGCAAGUCGAGCAAAGCUCGCUCGCAAGAGGGAGCGCCACACGAGGAGCCUGCGCCCGAUUAGCUGGCUGGUGGAGUAAUGGUUCACCAAGGCGACGAUCGGUAGCUGGUCUGAGAGGACGAUCAGCCACACUGGGAUUGAGAACGGCCCAGACUCCUACGGGGGGCAGCAGUGAGGAAUUUUCGUCAAUGGGGGCAACCCUGAACGAGCAACGCCGCGUGCAGGAAGAAGGUUUUCGGAUCGUAAACUGCUUUUCUCGGGGAAGAGAACGGACGGUACCCGAGGAAGAAGCCCCGGCUAACUACGUGCCAGCAGCCGCGGUAA
rnacentral:rRNA from 1 species